rnacentral:rRNA from 1 species
UACGAAGGGGGCUAGCGUUGCUCGGAAUUACUGGGCGUAAAGGGCGCGUAGGCGGCGGUGUCAGUCAGGCGUGAAAUUCCUGGGCUUAACCUGGGGGCUGCGCUUGAUACGGCACUGCUAGAGGUCAGAAGAGGCUCGUGGAAUUCCCAGUGUAGAGGUGAAAUUCGUAGAUAUUGGGAAGAACACCGGUGGCGAAGGCGGCGAGCUGGUCUGAUACUGACGCUGAGGCGCGACAGCGUGGGGAGCAAACAGG